CGCACCCCGGUGCGGCCCCCGCCUGCCCGCGCGCGCACACUCGGCCCCCCGCGGCCGGACCCACGGGGGCGGUGCGCGAACCCCGCGGCCGGAGGGGGCCCCGCCUCUAGGCGGGCCGGGCGAGGGGGAGCGCACCCCGACUUCCCUGGAUCACAUGGGCUGCGGGGGGCGGGUGGAUCGGGGGAGGGGGAGGCGCGGGGAGCUCGCGGCCGCUCCUCGCUCGGGCAGGGGAGAAGACGCCCCCCACCCCCUCUAGUUCGGCCUCUCCAUUCAAGUUCGCCGGCCCCGGCCGCCGGGAUCCGGAGAUGGCACCAGCCGCCCGCCCAGCCCUGCGCCCUUUUUCCAGCCACCGCGCAGAAAUUUAGGUCAAGGACGUCGGGAUCAAACCCAAACCCUGGCGCUCUUCGGCGGGCCCCGAGACCCCCCAGGAUCGGGGAGCUUCCGGAUUGAGGAGACCCUCCCGCACAAACAGCAGCCACAAGUUUUAUUUUCCUUUGGCGCUGGAAGUUCUCUCUGGCUCUGGCUCCACACCGGCACGUCUUGCGCCGCUCCCCGCCCUUCCCCGGCAGAGGAUUAGGACACAGUGGAAUACAUUCAACAGCAAAACUGUACCAAAUCCACUGUGGGUCGUGGCAAAGUGGAAUAUUUGGAAAAUCCCAACACUAGCCAAAGCCUUGGAUGACCAGAUUCUUAAUCUCCCUGCCUCCUACAUUUGGGAUAAUUCCUCACUGAUAGGAUUGAUGGGGUGAGAGGAGAGAUUGAAGACUUUGGGUUGUUGCAAAUUUUUGCUGUUAUGAGCAGCGCUAUAAUGAACAUUCUUGUCCUCUGGUGCUUUGUGGGCAAGAAUUUUUCUUUGGAGUGAUGACUGGGUCAUAAGUGGUUAUUUUAGAAUUUUCAACAUAUGCACUUGAUCCAACCCCACUACAACUAUACAAUAAGGACACAGCUAGAAAUUGAGUGGGGUGGUUGAAGACUUUUGCUCCUUUUUGUCCCCUCUGCCUUCCACGUUCCUUGUUCCAACUCAAAAUGAUCACACCCAACCAGGGCAAAUGCUGCUUACAAGUUUAGCUGAGUGAGAAAAAGUCAGACUCCUAAUAAAUGUCAACAUCUUUUAUGGAGUGACCGCAUUACCAAUUUGGUCUUGAUGAAAGGUGCCGGGGCCUGCAGGAGAAAAUGACUCUGCCUUUCAACUCCUCCUGGAAAUGGUUGACUCGGUGCCGCGGUCACCUUCCCUUACACCUCUGCACCCAUUUGGGCACUUGCCUCAUCCCCACCGCGCUCUGCCUUGCCCAACAGAAACCUCGGUGUCACAGCUGGAAAUGUGCAGGGGCCGCUCCACCCAGGCCCCCUCACACACACCGCAGUUAUGUCUGGGACCUCCAAACAUUCCCCUAGGCUUUCACCGUCUAGCGUCCGAGCCCCAUCAGCUUGCCAGGUCGCCAGCAACCAGCUCCCAGCUCGACCCACAAAACCACCCGUUAGCUUGGACAAAUGUUGGGUCCCCUUCUUCAAAAUCCUUAGCUGUUUCCCAUUUACCCAGUAUUAGAGGUGGCCAAAACAGCAAUAGGAAGCAUGGCUGUAGUGUCAUCCCGUCAUAUCUCUGGGUCUUCUGGAGGCCAACGGGACCGGGUCUGCUUCUGUGUGGGGAGUUCCAACUUUGGAGGACCGUGGGUAUGACGCCCUCUUCUGGUGGCUCUGGGGAACGCCUUCUUGCGCCCCUGCGUUUCAGUUCCCUCUGCUGGCGGAGGAGAGAGAAGCUGCCUCUCGCCUCCUGGCCCCAGAUGCCAGAGCUCCCGGGCCCUGCCGUCAAAUUGUGAGACCCAAGCCCCACAGAUCCUGAGGUUUCCGGAAGUUGAAACCGAGGCCCACGACGGUAGCCCCGCACUGCAAUUUAUACAGUUACCAGUUCCAAGUGGCUGAAAAACAAAUGAAGGGAAGGGUAGGAAAGGGAGAAAGCACUGUAACCUCCAAAGGGGGUUCAAAUAGGCCGAAAUCACAUCUAUGUAGCUACCCGUGGUAUGGACACACAGUGACAGAGGGAAGAAAGGAAUCAGAGAAAAGAUCAGGAGUGAGGACAAUAGAGGACAGACUUUACAGCAAAUUGCUGAGUAAGACACUCGUGCUAAAAAUAAUACCAUUUGGAGAGGGCAUAAGAAACAAAAGUGUGGCUGUGCCCAUGGGUGGGAGGAAGAAGAGGCUCUGCAUAUAAACACCCAGAAUUAGAACAACAUGAAGAAAGGACCAUCACCCAAGCGGAGAAGGAAUGAACGUAAGAAUAAUUUGAAGUGAGCCAGGAAAUUAAUUCUGUCACCAUCCUCUUGCUUCUGUGGAUCCGAUGAUGCUGGAGGCCCCCCAGCAGUGGAUGGCCACGCCUCUGGGUUUGAGCAGGCCCCAAGACCCCAUCACCCACUCAGCAGAUGCCACAUAAGAGAGGAGGGCGAGCCCCGGCUUUGUAUCUUCUAGUCUGGAUCACAGAUAAUCAUGAACAUUCAAAAAAUCAAUUGCCCAAGUGGCUGAUGGGGAGGUCUGGCUUGACAGAAGGCGUUCACGAGGAAGACCCGGGGGGUUAGCUGAUCACAAGCUUGAUGUGAACCUACUUCGCAGGGAGGUUGUUGAGAACCCUAAUGCAAUCUCAGGCUCUAUUAAUAGAACGGCGGAGUGUGGAAGGAGGGAGGCCGUAAUCCCAGUGCGUGCUGGCAGGUCAGGCCACAUGCAGCUUUAUGCUCAGUCCUGCAGGCUAUAUUUUAAGAGAGGCACUGGCAAAUUCGAGCCUGUUCAGAAGAGCAUGAAAAGGACUGGAUGCCAGUACUUAGACAGCACCAAGAUUAGCUUGACAGUCCUUUUACAACUGGCGAAAUCGGAAUGCGUAUUGCAUUGAAGACAGAAUCUCAGGAGCUAGGACUGAGAAUCGGGCUUUCAGUUUUUACUUAGCCUCCCUGAGCCUGAUGGGGUGCCCUUUCCAUAUAAUGGGGAUACCGCUCUCCCCCCGACCUACCUGCAAGCAUAGUUUGAAGGACAGUCUGCUCAGCGGGGCUUGUAUACUGAGCAUCUCCUUGGGGCCAACUCCCAGCCGGGCACUAGAGCACCAACUGGAGCUUGGAGUCUAGUCUGUGUUGGAGACACAGGCCCAUCAGCAGGCAUCUUGCAUAUAACAUGACAGAUGAUAAUAGAUACAUGCACUGAUUUGCAAUGAGAUGUAAUUAAUAUCUUAUCAGGAAAGAAUGACAAGAGAGAAAAACAAAGUCUUCAGGGCAUAUGUACUUGUAAGUGCAAAGGGAAAAAACUGCUGGAGGCCAGAGAGGAGGAGAGUCCAUGAGUGAGGAAAGAUUAGAACUGGAAAAUUUCAGAGUCAUGAAAGACUGUUGAAAGGUCUCUACACUGUCAGGCACCACCAAGAAAUCCAGGAGGAAGAGGAGAAAAGUUGAAAUAUUUCCAGACCUCCCUGGAUGUGGAGGUUAGGCGUUUCAUCCUUAGUGGUCAAGAAACACCUUUUGGGGAAAUGCUGGAGGCAGAGACGGACUUCAUUUAGGACGUUUGUGGCAGGAUGCAUUUAUUGGACACCUACUGCACACUUAGCAUGGUGCUAUGCACUAUGGAAGUUGGAAAAGCAUAAGAUUUUGUUGUCACUACUUCAGUAGUGACUGGUGAGUUAAGAGAAACACGUAUACAUUCAUCAGCGAAGAGCAGAAGAUUAUUACACAAAUUGUUCAGCGGGGUAAGGCAGACAGUGGUUUAAAUGGCCAGUUGGGGGCGCCUGGGUGGCUCAGUCGGUUAAGCGACUGCCUUCGGCUCAGGUCAUGAUCCUGGAGUCCCGGAAUCGAGUCCCGCAUCGGGCUCCCUGCUCGGCGGGGAGUCUGCUUCUCCCUCUCCCGCUCCCCGCUCUUGUGCUCUCUCUCUCUCUCUCUCUCUCUCUCAAAUAAAUAAAUAAAAUCUUUAAAAAAAAAA